UACGAAGGGGGCUAGCGUUGCUCGGAAUUACUGGGCGUAAAGGGAGCGUAGGCGGAUCGUUAAGUUAGAGGUGAAAGCCCAGGGCUCAACCUUGGAACUGCCUUUGAUACUGGCGAUCUUGAGUAUGGAAGAGGUAAGUGGAACUCCGAGUGUAGAGGUGAAAUUCGUAGAUAUUCGGAAGAACACCGGUGGCGAAGGCGACUUACUGGUCCAUGACUGACGCUGAGGCUCGAAAGCGUGGGGAGCAAACAGG
rnacentral:rRNA from 1 species